AGUCAGCAAGGGUGGGAACAGCACGGGCAGCUGGGCGAGAGCUGUGCAGGCACCCAGGAUGUUUCAGAUUGGGGCACCUGAUGGGCUGCAGUCCUGGACCUGUCUGGGUAGGAUAGUAUCAUCCCUGUAGACCCCUGAAGGUCUGUGCUUUUGCAGAUCCUGCUUUGCAAGGAAAUAAAUUUUCUUCAAAAAGGAA